ACUCAUUAUUUCAAAUCACAACUCAAUGUUACUGUAUGUUACUAUUUAUUAUGGCAUGUUUUAAGGUUUUUUUGUAAGGAUAAACCCUGAAGAGGGAACAAAAUGUACCUCCAAGGUUGGGACAAGCAGAAAAACUGGGACCACUGUGAAGCGAUUAACCCUCAUGUCACAACUUUCCUCCAGCGGCUUAUUGAAUUUGAGUGGAGAACUUCAAAUUAGAUGAUCCAUGGCCCAUGCUUGCUGGACAUUUACACAAGAUGAACAACAAUGAAGACAAGCUCUCUUGCCAUCUUGCAAGACGCUGUCUCUGUCCAAUAGGUUUUUUUGAGUGCAACAGUUUUGAUUUUUUUUUCCUUCUUUACCCGUUUGUUAAAAAUUAUUUCAGCUACUUACACUUUAAUUGUCACAUGUAUUGGCUCACCCUACAAAUCAAUGAACUCAGUCCACAAAGCAAGAUCAGGGUUCAGUGCAGGUCAGUCAAGUUCCUUCACACCACACACGCUCAUCCAUGUCCUUGUGGACCCUGUUUUGUGCAUUGAUUUGGUGGUGUGAGCCAGUAUUUUGGACAAAGUGUAUAUAAAGGCAGACGGGACUUGAUAUUAUAUUCAUUACAAUUCAGUUUAUUUGUAUGGUGCCAACAAAAUGAAUGCCAAGGCACUUCACAUUGUAGGUUUAAGACCCUACAAAAUAUAACUAAGAAAACCCAACACUUGAGCAUAUGUUGUCUGCCAUGAUAUGGAUAUGACAAAAUAUCGUUAUUGUUUGUACAACCAGCUGAGAAAAUAAUGGAUUACAUAGUUUAGUAAAAACAAGUGCUUCCUCAAUGAAAAUAUGUUUUUAAUUCUUUUCAGUUUUUGAUUUUGGAAAUGUGUAUUUCUGCAGGGAAAAAUCAGAACUGAAAUAAAGUGGUGUAAAGCACA